AGAGCCCUUCCGUUGCUGACGUCUCUGUCGGUCCUGAAGGUCACUGGAAGAACAGGAGGAGGCGUGGCGCCUCCGUUGCACGCGGUGGCGUCAGGAGCUGGACGCCGGGACUCUUUAGAAAGCCGGAAGUGCCUUGACUGCUAGGUUAACCUUCUGUCCCAGCCUAGCUUGAGUCAGAAGGGCUUGCAGGUUUGCUUCUAGCAUAAGGACCAUUGCUGCUUCCUUCAAACAUUUGUUUUAUUAACGUGCUUUUGUUUCAGAAACUACAGAUAAGGCCCACCCUGGCUCCUGGGAGAAGCAGCUGACCUCCUGGGGCACUGGUUAGAGAUUACCGCCUGGGGACAUGUUGGAGGCAUCUGGGCGUUUUGUGUGACCAACCCCCACCCCUUGGAAACCGCUAACUCCCGAGACUAGGAAUGCUGCAGCUUCGCUCACCUAAUCCUCCCUGAAUUUCAAAGCCCUCACCCCACCUUGUUUGUCGUCCCCCACCCCCUUAUAAAAGAUCUGGCCAGGAAAGAGAAUGGAAGAUGGUUUGUUAGGGUAUGAACCCGCCAUCUUCUUGGAUCGCCGGACAUCUAAAUAAAGUGCUCAUAAAAGAUUCAA